UGUUUAUUCGCUGGAGACAUAUAGAAUGGUUAGAAUCUUUAGAUUCUGUGAAAUUUUUAUGCAAACAUCAAAUGGAUAUAGAGCCAUGCCUUCGCAGGCUCGGUUGGAUAGGAAAUGUAUCUUUGAUCUUUGAAGCUCACACCAAUUUUCAUUUGUGUAAAGGUAUCAAACAGAGAGACUUGUUUUGUGCCAGUGAUGAAUGUCUCUGUACAAGACCCAUAUCAGCAGGUGAAUUGUAGCAUCUAAGAAGGCUUCACUCUUCCUUUUUAUUUUAUUUUUUUGUAAAUGCAUGGUUUGCUUCUCUAUAUUUGGAGUGUUAUUUUAUAGUUAACAACACUACCAACUUGUUUCCCUGGCAUUGAUGCUGUUAAUCUUUCAAUAGCAAGGAAAUGUUGAUCUCCAGAAUAUAUUUCCACUUUACUUUCUUGGCUCGCUUUUUUGAAAUUUGAUCCAACUUUAUCCAGGUCGUCAAUGUUCCAGAGAAGGUAGGACGUAAGCAUCCUGGAAGUGACAAUAUUCAGGGGAUGUUCAUGUCAUCAAUGAGAAAGUUGCUAACAAACAAGAAGGAAUUGGAGCUGCCUUCAUAGUUUCAAGGCAGCAGCAAGACAGUGGUAUUACUCCCUGACUUGCUGAUGUAGACAUUCAAGAGCAUGCGUUCCUGGAGGAAAGACUGCUCCCUGAAGGUAGAUAAAUUACUUGAAAGGCACAAAUGGAUUGCAGCUAAGAAUAUAGAGCCUAUAUCCAAAGUCUGCAAAAGUCUAGGUCCAGUUAGACUGAUCCAUAUGUUUGUAUAGAGCCUAUAUCCAACACAAAGCUUUGUAUGUUAAAGUUAACAUUAAAAUAAAAUUAUAUAUAU